rnacentral:lncRNA from 1 species
UGAGACCCAUAAGAUAGAAGAUGAGAAUCCAUCUGCCCUCUUCUCUGCACCCAGGCUUCAAUCCUGUUUGAUCAUGCAGGGGCUACAAGGCCUUCGACACAAAGAACUUGUCUUAGAUUCUAAUCAGUUUAACAAAUAGGACAGACAGCUGCUGAGCACUGUCUGAGUGACACUGAUUUACACAGAAAUGAACCACCAAUGUCCCCUUCUAUCAAUUCAGAAUAAAAUCUGGUUUUAGCAUACGCAGUCCUAUGAGACAUGGUUAAAGGAUAUGAGUGAUAGAUAGAGAUAACAGAAAUCAAGGACCAUUCCUCCACGAGUCUCCAAAGAGGAAAACAACAAUCGAAGAAAAAAACAGUGAGAGAACAGAUGGGCUGGCAGAGUUUUGUUUUCUGUGUGACACUGUGUACUUAUUAUUCGCAUGAGGACUAAUUUAUAAACCCAAAUAGUGUUUAUAAACUAUACCAUCCUAAUGGAAAUGAAAGCAUUAAUACAACUAGAAGAUUCUUUA